rnacentral:rRNA from 1 species
AGUAUAAGCAAUUAUACAGCGAAACUGCGAAUGGCUCAUUAAAUCAGUUAUCGUUUAUUUGAUAGUACCUUACUACUUGGAUAACCGUGGUAAUUCUAGAGCUAAUACAUGCUAAAAACCCCGACUCACGAAGGGGUGUAUUUAUUAGAUUAAAAACCAAUGCCCUUCGGGGCUCUUUGGUGAUUCAUAAUAACUUUUCGAAUCGCAUGGCCUUGCGCCGGCGAUGGUUCAUUCAAAUUUCUGCCCUAUCAACUUUCGAUGGCAGGGUCUUGGCCUGCCAUGGUUACAACGGGUAACGGAGGGUUAGGGCUCGACCCCGGAGAAGGAGCCUGAGAAACGGCUACUACAUCCAAGGAAGGCAGCAGGCGCGCAAAUUACCCAAUCCCGAUUCGGGGAGGUAGUGACAAUAAAUACUGAUACAGGGCUCUUUUGGGUCUUGUAAUUGGAAUGAGUACAAUUUAAAUCCCUUAACGAGGAACAAUUGGAGGGCAAGUCUGGUGCCAGCAGCCGCGGUAAUUCCAGCUCCAAUAGCGUAUAUUAAAGUUGUUGCAGUUAAAAAGCUCGUAGUUGAACCUUGGGCCUGGCUGGCCGGUCCGCCUCACCGCGUGCACUGGUUCGGCCGGGCCUUUCCCUCUGGGGAACCUCAUGGUCUUCACUGAUCGUGACGGGGAACCAGGACUUUUACUGUGAAAAAAUUAGAGUGUUCAAAGCAGGCCUAUGCUCGAAUACAUUAGCAUGGAAUAAUAAAAUAGGACGUGUGGUUCUAUUUUGUUGGUUUCUAGGACCGCCGUAAUGAUUAAUAGGGACAGUCGGGGGCAUCAGUAUUCAAUUGUCAGAGGUGAAAUUCUUGGAUUUAUUGAAGACUAACUACUGCGAAAGCAUUUGCCAAGGAUGUUUUCAUUAAUCAGGAACGAAAGUUAGGGGAUCGAAGACGAUCAGAUACCGUCGUAGUCUUAACCAUAAACUAUGCCGACUAGGGAUCGGACGGUGUUACUUAUUGACCCGUUCGGCACCUUACGAGAAAUCAAAGUCUUUGGCUC